rfam:Otolemur garnettii contig054942, whole genome shotgun sequence.
GAGUGCUUACUUUGGCACACAUAUACUAAACUUGGAAUGAUAUAGAGAAGAUUGGGAUGAUCCUGUGCAAGGAUGACACAUAAAUUCAUGAAACCCAGUCGUAAAAG